rnacentral:misc_RNA from 1 species
UGUGGGAGCGAGCCUGCUCGCGAUGGCGGAGUGUCAGUCAACGUUGAUUUGCUGAUCCACCGCCAUCGCGAGCAGGCUCGCUCCCACA